rnacentral:rRNA from 1 species
AGCGAACGCUGGCGGCAGGCUUAACACAUGCAAGUCGAACGGGCAUCUUCGGAUGUCAGUGGCAGACGGGUGAGUAACACGUGGGAACGUACCCUUCGGUUCGGAAUAACUCAGGGAAACUUGAGCUAACACCGGAUACGCCCUUUUGGGGAAAGGUUUACUGCCGAAGGAUCGGCCCGCGUCUGAUUAGCUUGUUGGUGGGGUAACGGCCUACCAAGGCGACGAUCAGUAGCUGGUCUGAGAGGAUGAUCAGCCACACUGGGACUGAGACACGGCCCAGACUCCUACGGGAGGCAGCAGUGGGGAAUAUUGGACAAUGGGCGCAAGCCUGAUCCAGCCAUGCCGCGUGAGUGAUGAAGGCCUUAGGGUUGUAAAGCUCUUUUGUCCGGGACGAUAAUGACGGUACCGGAAGAAUAAGCCCCGGCUAACUUCGUG